GUUAAAAUAUUUUUCCCUUUUCCCUUCGCUAAACCCCUAAGCCCAGCGAUCCCGAAGAAGCCUCCUCCUUUUCCUCUUUCUCCGCAGCCAGUGCAGAUCCCGCUAUGUCUUCCGUAUCUUUGUUAGGGUUAUUAUGGGCUACCGUAGCCAAGUCCCAAAUGGUAUCUUCUAUGAUUUAUUUCCCCCCUCAUUUUUCUUUAAUUGGCAGCGGAUUCGAGCUUGCACGAACGCUUAGCUGAUCGAUCGGCUUGUCCCAAUCGAGAUACAGUGAUUGCCGCAAAGGCAACGGAGAGGGUAUUAAGAAGGAUGGUAUGAUGGUGGAAGCAUUGCCUUUGCAAUUAUUCUUGUUAUUGUAGUAACAGGUAUCCCCAGUAAAUUUAGUCGUAUUCUUCAUCGACAAGAAACUAUCAGAAAUGUCUGACCGUUUUGGUGGCUCCCAGCCAUGGCUGCCACCCAGGAAGAAAAUGGAAAGUUUAGAGAAAGCAAGUUACUGAAGAUGCGGCUGAUUGGGAAUGACCUCUUUGAUCAGAAAUAUUUCUUUCAACUGUACGCGUACAUAAUUUGUGGCUUGGUGUACUAUAGAGUUAAAGUCGUUCCGUAUAUUACUUGGUUAAAUUGAAA